rnacentral:lncRNA from 1 species
CUCAUCUCCAGCCCAACUCCAGUCGUCUCUUUCAUGAGACGAACCAAACGACCCUGGAAAACCUAGCGCCGCCCUCCAUUUCACUGCCCAAAAGCCCGACGGCCGGUGGUCCCAUCUCGCCCAAAAUAAUACCCCGGAACCUCCUUGACUCCCUCACCCCAAAUCAACACCUGGUUUCCCUCGAAUGUUGGCCUAGAUCCUCGAAUCUUAAAUUAAGAACGAGCCCUAAUUCCCAAAUUCCCGAAUCAGUUAAAUGGUGAAAAUUUUUUACCGAACUGGACCUUAGUCUCAUGUUUUCCUUGAAACCACAGGAUUAAGGUCCACUCCGGCCAGAAGAUUUGAAGAUUUCUCGGAGUUGUUCGAUAUGGCCUGUUCUUCGGGUAUUUCCUCUUUCUGUUCUUUUUUGUUUAGUUCCUUUAAGUUUUUAGUUUAUUUUGGUCGAAUACUCAUCUUUUCAUCUAUUCUGUUUCUUUUUCUUUGUUGGUCAAGUUUCAUCGGAUAUUGCUCGCAUUAGGUACAUGAUCAUAAGUUGUAAUCUUUAAUUGAUAAGUGAAUUUGUUUGUUAGGUCAAUUGCGAUUACAUUCGUGAUAGUUCAUUGUUGGAACUACUGAAAUUGUUUGUAAAAUGGUUUGUGUUUCCUUUACUCAUAUAUAGUUUGGUUUUGAUUUAAUCACUGAUUUUCUUCGUGAAGAAUUGUCUAUGUUAAUCUGCAAUCAGACAUAGUGUUCAUCGGUUCUUAAUUGAAUAGUUAGAAACUUUAUUGGAUGCUGGGUACGUCACAUCGUUGAUAUCUUCUCCCCCGCUUAUGACGUUGACGGUUUUUUGGGAGAUGGUGGUUUUGGGGGCACCUGCCUAUUUUCAUGUAAGCUUCCUUGACUUUCUCACUGACCAACUCGG